ACUUCGGAGAACCUCAUUUGAUUGAGUGCCGAAGGGGCAAGGUGUAAACCGAAACUCUCAGGCAAAAGGACGAAGA
rnacentral:ncRNA from 1 species